GCCCUUAUAGCUCAGUGGUAGAGCGCAUCCUUGGUAAGGAUGAGGUCGCCGGUUCAAGCCCGGCUAAGGGCUCCA
rnacentral:tRNA from 1 species